UACGUAGGGGGCAAGCGUUGUCCGGAAUCAUUGGGCGUAAAGGGCGUGUAGGCGGCCUGGUAAGUCCGCUGUGAAAGUCCAGGGCUCAACCCUGGAAUGCCGGUGGAAACUGUCAGGCUCGAGUCCGGAAGAGGCGAGUGGAAUUCCUGGUGUAGCGGUGAAAUGCGCAGAUAUCAGGAGGAACACCAAUGGCGAAGGCAGCUCGCUGGGACGGUACUGACGCUGAGACGCGAAAGCGUGGGGAGCAAACAGG
rnacentral:rRNA from 1 species